rnacentral:rRNA from 1 species
GACAGAGGCCUCAAGCGUUAGGCGGAAUCACUGGGCUUAAAGCGUGUGUAGGCGGGUCGUUAAGUGUCUUGUGAAAUCCCACCGCUCAACGGUGGAACCGCUGGGCAUACUGGCGAUCGUUGAGCAGUCCAGGGGCGAGCGGAACAAGCGGUGGAGCGGUGAAAUGCGUAGAUAUCGCUUGGAACGCCGACGGUGAAAACAGCUCGCUGGGGACUCGCUGACGCUGAGACACGGAAAGCCAGGGGAGGCGCAAACGGG